rnacentral:tRNA from 1 species
UAUUCUGUGGCUGAGAUGAUUAAAGCGCCGGACCGGCGAUACGGAGUCGUGGGUUCGAAUCUCACCAAUACAA